UUUUAGUUUUUACCUUAUCUAAUUUACGCUACGGAUGCUUACACUGCAAUCGAACGCAGCGCAGAGAGCUGCUCUCUGGCGGCGAGGGCGGACGGUGAGUAAGUAUCGGAACGUGCCCAGUAGCGGNGAUACUACUCGAAAGAGUAGCUAAUACCGCAUACGCCCUACGGGAAAGGNGGGAUCGCAAGACCUCUCAAUAUUGGAGCGGCCGAUAUCGGAUUAGCUAGUUGGUGGGGUAAAGGCCUACCAAGGCGUCGAUCCGUAGCUGGUUUGAGAGGACGACCAGCCACACUGGGACUGAGACACGGCCCAGACUCGUACGGGAGGCAGCAGUGGGGAAUUUUGGACAAUGGGGGAAACCCUGAUCCAGCCAUCCCGCGUGUAUGAUGAAGGCCUUCGGGUUGUAAAGUACUUUUGGCAGAGAAGAAAAGGCGCCCUUAAUACAGGGCGCUGCUGACGGUAUCUGCAGAAUAAGCACCGGCUAACUACGCGCCAGCAGCCGCGGUAAUACGUAGGCUGCAAGCGUUAAUCGGAAUUACUGGGCGUAAAGUGUGUGUAGGCGGUUCGGAUAGAAAGAUGUGAAAUCCCAGGGCUCAUCCUUGGAACUGCAUUUUUAACUGCCGAGCUAGAGUAUGUCAGAGGGGGGUAGAAUUCCACGUGUAGCAGUGAAAUGCGUAGAGAUGUGGAGGAAUACCGAUGGCGAAGGCAGCCCCCUGGGAUAAUACUGACGCUCAGACAAGAAAGCGUGGGGAGCAAACAGGAUUAGAUACCCUGGUAGUCCACGCCAUAAACGAUGUCAACUAGCUGUUGGGGCCGUUAGGCUUCAGUAGCGCAGCUAACGCGUGAAGUGACCGCNNGGA
rnacentral:rRNA from 1 species